GCCCGAAUGGUGGAAUUGGUAGACACAAGGGACUUAAAAUCCCUCGGCUGAAAAGCUGUGCCGGUUCGACUCCGGCUUCGGGCACCA
rnacentral:tRNA from 1 species